rnacentral:rRNA from 1 species
CAGCAGCCGCGGGAAUACAGAGGGUGCAAGCGUUAAUCGGAAUUACUGGGCGUAAAGCGCGCGUAGGUGGUUCGCCAAGUUGGAUGUGAAAUCCCCGGGCUCAACCUGGGAACUGCAUCCAAAACUGGCGAGCUAGAGUAUGGUAGAGGGUGGUGGAAUUUCCUGUGUAGCGGUGAAAUGCGUAGAUAUAGGAAGGAACAUCAGUGGCGAAGGCGACCACCUGGACUGAUACUGACACUGAGGUGCGAAAGCGUGGGGAGCAAACAGGAUUAGAUACCCCGGUAGUCCCUGUCUCUUAUAC